GCCGGAGUUUGCAGCCCUGCUAUCCUGGACAGCAGCCUGCUCCGAUGCCCGUGGGCGCAGCGAUGGACGGGGUUGACUCUGGCAACCAUUGCAAGAUGUGACAAAGCCAGGCUAGAUCCAGCGCUGCUGAGAUCCCCCGAUACAAAGGGGUUAGCCCCAAAUCCAAUCCAAUCCAAUCCAAUGGCACAUUGUUGCUUUGCAGAGACACUUGUUCUCGCUGGCCAUCUCAGCUUUUGGGAACAUGCAUUUUUUGUGCAGUGUUCUUGCUUAUACCAGUCCAGCAUCAUUGAAAAGAGAGUGUCUCCUAGUGCAUCAAAUGGAUCACAGUUAUUUAGAUGAGAACAAGCAGUUGACCUACGUGAUCGCAUUCGCCACCACUCAUUUGUGCAAAACAAAACCAUUGUGAUGUGGUUGUCUUGCAACUCAUGCUCUUGCCUGGUGCUUGAGGCUACAAGAUAUCGACAACUGUUUUGUUGAUUGCAUCUUUGCACCGGAAGCAGUGCUUGCAUACUUAAAUAGUGUGUGAUUUUUCAUUGAUUUACUGUGACUGACUCUACAAUGACAUUUUGUAGAACAUUAUUACAAUGAACCUAUGUCACUAGAUGGUACCUCCACAGUACCAUAUAGCAUUCACUGCAGCCUUAUAUAUGCCAUAGCAAUUCAAAAACCCAGAAAAUAGGCUCGCCUAUUGUUGCUUCAAUGAAAGAUUAGGUGCACGUGAAAAGUUUUCUGCUUGAAGGGGCUAUGCGCAUCAAUUUUUUUAUUAACUUAACGUGUGAUAUCACAUGAAUGUAAUGACAGUCUUUUUUUCUGCUUUGUUUUUUUCCGGAGUUUGUUUUCUUUGUUCUUUAAUAGACAGCUGUCGGGACGCUCGUUUUGUGUGGACUACUUUCUGCUGAAGGCAUUGCAGAUUUGCCAAGCUUGUUUAAUGUUUGCAUCGGACUUUGUCAUUUAACCUCUUUGUCUUGGCUUCCCCAUCAGUGCCAGCUGAAGCAGACGACGGGGACGGCGGGAGCGACUCCUCUUCCCCUAGAAGUGAACUGGUUGAGUCGCUACCCACGAUGCGGCCCCGAUGUGAGGGCAUGUACCGCUGCGAGUUCUGCCCUUACUCCAGUAGUUAUCUGCAAUCUGUCAUCAACCACGAAAGAACACACACGGGAGAGAAACCAUUCAGUUGCGAGGUUUGCCAGAAGGCGUUCGCCAGAAAUGAUAUCCUGGCGAAACACAAGAGGGUCCAUACGGGCGAGAAACCGUACCAGUGUGGCACCUGUGAAAAAAACUUUUCACAGAGAAAUAACAUGUUGCGUCAUGAGAGAACCCACAAGUAUGAAGCCUGUGAUAAAAAUGUUUAUACACAUGGGCAAUAUAUGUGGGCAUAAAAAAAAAGCAUGUGAGUGAGGAAUCGGCACCAUGCAAUAUCUUGAGGUUGUUUGUGUGGAAGUGUUCAUGUUUUACCGUGUGCUUCACUGCCUGUAUGUUGUUUGUUCGCCUGGAGUUAUGAAACGGGCAUAUUCAUCAGUUCUAAAGAUUCUCAGUUGCAGUUAGGCAGCAGCCGCAGUACUGCUAAGUAUUAUGUUUUUUUUUAAUGGCCUUAUUUAAAGGGGUAGGGAAACGAAAUUCCAGCGCUCAUUUUCCAGCUUGAGUGUGUUGCAUGUUGCACCCUAACCUCAAAAACACCAGUCUUCCAUUGAAAUUAAGGCACAAGAAAACUAAUUUUAAAGCUAAAUGAAUGAUAUUUCAAUGUGCACCUGGUGGAUGCAUGCGGAGCCUAUUUGGGAGGUAGUCUAGCAACUUUGUGGAAUCUGCUACGUAGUUGUGACAUAGCAUUCCUUCGGAGCAGCGCCGCUCUUCGGCAUUUCAACAUUUUCCCUCUUAGCUUUCCUCCUCAACUCACUAGUCGCGCAUCGUAUUAAACGGUCCAAGGCGACGGAAAGGAAGGACUCCCCUCUUUCUCGGACCCUCGUUCGUGCAACCGGAAACAACCACUCUCCCCCUAGAAGAUUAGCCCGUUGCUCAAAACUCGAACAAAAGUUGCUUUCCUGACCCCGUUCAGCCCUAAGCUCACAGUGUUGUGGAAGCUACGUGCUCCUUGGGCCAGCCACACGCUCAUCACCCCACGACGGCUCGGUUGUAACGCGCUGACGCUAUUGACACCACUACAACGCUGACAACGCCACCAAGGGCAAAGCUCAUAACCACGCCAGCCUUGGUACGUCACGAAUGCGGGGAAUUUUUCUUUCUGUUUUUCUUUGCACCGGAUAUCCCAUGACGCAUUGCGCUCUCGGUUCGCUUCUUUUCGAGUGCUUGCUCAAGUGCACCGUUUAGAACGUAAAAUAUAUCAAGUCGUUCAAAAUACAAAUGUGUGAUUAUCAUUUACGGUUAUUAUCCGUCAUGCUUGACUCAUUUCCGAGCGAAAUUUGAAUAUUUCAAUUUUUGUUUCCGUACCCCUUUAAUAGACGGGGUUCGCACGGGUCCUUGAAAACCUUGAAUUUGAAAACGGCAUUUUCCAGACCUUGAAAAUAUGGAAUUUUUAGCAGUGCUUGAAAACCGUUAAAUUUCCCUGUGAUCGUUUUUUUUUCCCCUUUGGAGUAAUUAAUUUUUGUUGCAAUAAUAAAAUAUAAUUAUUAGUUUUAUGUGCAUGUCAACAAAUUUCAAAAUUCCGACGAGGAAAGUUUUUUAUAGGGCAUAUUUACACACGUUUAGCAGAUGCCCGUUAAGCACCUGGCCACAAUGGUUGCUGAUCUGACAGCUUCAUCCAAUCACUUCGCUGAGAAAGCAGAGGCAACAGGUGACUUCACCUACAUUGUCAAGCCGGAGAGCCUAAGGAAAAUGGCGAAAACCAAGAUUCACAAACUUCUAGUCGUCAACCACGAAAUCAAGGAAGAGCUGCAGUAACUCUACUGAACCCUUUACUAGCACCAUUUUUUUGGCAAAUGUGCAUUUUCCUAGGUAUCAUGCAAUAAAAAAAAUAUUUUGUGGUGUAUUUUAAAAAUCUUUACAUUAUAAAUUUACUACAUAAAAUAUUUAAAGGUGUCCUUGAAAAUAUCUUUUCAGGCCCUUAAAAGUCCUUGAAAACCCUUGAAGUUUUUCUUUUGAGUUGAGAGUUUGGAGUUUAGCAGCUUUGAACAUUGGGAUCAUUUUUGUUUUACGACGUCUACUUUGAACUUAAUUUUGUGGGGAUGAGGAGCAUUGGGGUUUAUUAAGGCACCUUGAAUCUUAUGUAUAGAUUAUUGUGCCAACAUUUUGAAAAGAGAUUUUUCCUAAAUUCUUUGGAUUUACUUAUAUUUUAACCCUGUUUUGUCACUUUGCUCCUGAUGAAUUGUGUUCCUGAGGUUGUAAAAAGAAAGGUGUCAAUUACUGUACUCCUCCAUUCUUUGUGGAUUCAGUGAAUCACAAAUAAACUACUUUCCUCUACAAGUCAUUGCCUUACUGCCCUAGCCACUGUUGAUGAGUAUUCUACAAUCAACGAGCUAUAUACCAAGUAAGCUUUGGUUUCAACCUUUUGUUGCGCCUGAUCUUUGCCAGCUGAC